GAUGAACGCUGGCGGCGUGCCUAAUACAUGCAAGUCGAGCGAACAGACGAGGAGCUUGCUCCUCUGACGUUAGCGGCGGACGGGUGAGUAACACGUGGAUAACCUACCUAUAAGACUGGGAUAACUUCGGGAAACCGGAGCUAAUACCGGAUAAUAUAUUGAACCGCAUGGUUCAAUAGUGAAAGACGGUUUUGCUGUCACUUAUAGAUGGAUCCGCGCCGCAUUAGCUAGUUGGUAAGGUAACGGCUUACCAAGGCGACGAUGCGUAGCCGACCUGAGAGGGUGAUCGGCCACACUGGAACUGAGACACGGUCCAGACUCCUACGGGAGGCAGCAGUAGGGAAUCUUCCGCAAUGGGCGAAAGCUUGACGGAGCAACGCCGCGUGAGUGAUGAAGGUCUUCGGAUCGUAAAACUCUGUUAUUAGGGAAGAACAAAUGUGUAAGCAACUAUGCACGUCUUGACGGUACCUAAUCAGAAAGCCACGGCUAACUACGUG
rnacentral:rRNA from 1 species